ACAGCAGGGCUUCGCAAGUGCUGCCUGGUGGAGUGGAUGGAUGGAGGAUUGUUGACUACAAGGGUCUGUGGUGUCACUUGAUAUUCAGGCCUCCUGUCGUGAAACCUCUCCUCUCAGCUCUGAUUAAAUUUGAGUGUCCAGAAAAUAACAUGGGGCCUCAGCGGUUGGAAGUGGGUUCUCUCUGUGUGGCCCUGGGCAAGCUUCCUAACCUUUCUGAGCUUCCACAUCCAUAUCUGUGAUAUGGCCACGAGAAUGCCCCCGUCCAACAGCUUUUGGGAGGGUGAGGGGCAUUGUGUAUGCAGAAGCACUAGUGCAGGCCUGGCACAUGGCAGACACACAAGAGCAUGACAUCCCCCUUGUGCUUCCAUGUUGUGUGUCCUCCCCGCCCCCAUACGGUCCAGAGCAGGGCUUGGGGGUUUGGACACUUUGAACUGAGCUGGGAUGGCCUGUAACCUGACAGGUACCCCCCCUUCUGCAUGGUCACUGACUAUCCUGGGUUCUCCAUGCCAAGUUAAAGCUCCCCAAAGGGAAGCCUUCUUUCCAAGUACCCACGGGAGCCCCAGGGCAUGCAGAUCCUUAAGGAAAGCUGCAGAGAAGACCCUCUUGGAUGAGAGAAGCCAUUUAGGGGACCCGUGGGGCCACGGAGAGAUGGGGUCUGGGUGGCCGCAGAGCUGAGCCCUUGCUGUUGGCGCCAUCUACUGGCGGGAAGCCUCCCAGACCUCAGUACAGCGGAACAGUACUCCGCUGCGCGGUGGGCCUGAGGACUCCCGGGUUUGGUGUGUGCGCCCCAGAAUCCCCGCUGCCUUGUCCAGUAUUGACACCCCAGAGGAUGUGACUGCAGAUCGCCAGUGAGCCCACACUCUUCCGGGAAACGAACUCUGUCUCUGAACGUGCGCAAGCAAGGAGGCAGACGGAUGGCACGUGGUUCCUGCCCUCCAGGAUGGACAGUUCCGUUGGGAAAUGCACAUUGACCUUUUCGUGCAUUCUGUUGUCAGAUGCUUAGGAAACACCUACUCUGUGCCAGGCUCAAAGGAUGCAAGGGCGCACGAGACGGAGUCACUGCCUGUGGAGGCCAGCAGACAUCUAAAUGGUGAUGUGCUCCAUGUGGUCCGUGCUGGAAAGACAAGACGGCGUCUUCGGAUCAUUUGUUCACCCGGCACCUCCUUAGUCACGCUUUGUGCCAGGCGCUGCUCUAGGGGCUGGUGUUAUGAUCUACAUUUCACGGAUCGGGAAAGCGACUUGCCCACAGUCAAAACGUGAUACUACUGCAUUUGCUGCGAAGACAGAGAGGCAGAGGCGAUCCCAGCGGCUGCCUAGGACAGGGUGUCCGGUGCUCUGCAGUCACAGUCUGCUCCUGUCGGUUCUGCAUGCUUGGCCUGAGUGCACCAGCCUCACCUACCCUCCCGCAGUACCUCCCCAGGGACCCCUCCCCACAGCCCAGGCAGCCGUCUCAGAUGGAAUCGCUUCCUACAGUGGUUCCCAAACUUUGCUGGAUGUUAGAACCACCAGAACCUUUAAUAAACACUGACACCUGGCCACUGUCCCCAGAAAUUCUGACUUAAGUUGUCUGGGCAGGAGGCUGGGCACAGGGUUCUCCCAGGUGCCUCGGAAGGCCCUGUCUUCCCUUAAUAGAUCCCUGGAUCCUACUCUGAAUAUUCAGCAUCAGUCCUAGGUCUUCAGCGUCAGACCUGGCAGAAACACAGCAGUCCAUGAUCUCACAGGCGGACACACUGCUCAGUUACCCCCUUGGACACUAAUGAAAAAUGCUGUGCUUUGCCCUUAAUGUUUUAUGAAAAUGACUAAAACUUGGAAAACAUAAAAAAGCAGCAGCUCCUCAUGGCCAGAUCCCUAGCAUCUGCCGUGGUCUGAAUGUUUGUGUCUCCUCAAAUUGUAACCUCUGAAGUGACGGUAUCAGGAGGUGGGGCCUUUGGGACUGACUAGGUCGUGAGGAUGGAUCCCUUAUGAAUGGGGUUAGUGAGACCCCCAUGGAGCUCCCGGGCCCCUUCCUCCAGGUGUGGACAUGGUGAGAAGAUACUCGCUAUGAACCGGGACGCGGGUCCUCACCAGAACAUGAUGAUGCUGGCACCGUGAUCUUGGGCUUCCAGCUUCCAGACUGUGAGAAAUAAAUUUCUGUUGUUUAUAAGCUAAGCCACCCAGUCUGUAGUA